CUCCUUCACGUCGGCCACCUCCGUAACCACCGCCGCCGCCUCCACUUCCACGAGCCUGAGCUUCGUUAACGGUAAUGCUACGGCCGUCAAGUUCCUGACCGUUCAUCCCUUCGAUUGCAUCCCUCAUGCAUUUCUCAUCCUUAAAGGUAACAAAGCCAAAUCCUCUAGAUCUGCCAGUUUCUCUGUCGUUAAUGAUCUGAAAAAUAAAAGUAAAACAAAACUAAGCUCAGAUCUAACAGAUCUACAACGUUUACACGCAAAAUAAUUAACCGAUCUAUCUUCAUCUCUUGACAAAAAGAGAAAAAAGACGGAACGUACCGUUUCAAGGGUAUAACAGUAAUAACAGUAACAGUAACAGUAACAGAUGAAUCAAGUAAACCAGAGAUUAAUAAACAGUAAUCAGUAACAGAAGGUCAUCAACAAAGCCAAAAAAUGGGCCCGGAUUCGAUUUCUGCUCUGCGCAACAAACGGACCUUCGAGUCGAGAACUUCGCCGUAUGUACCGAAAGCAUCAGCUAAGGUUCUAUCGGUGGUAGCCCAUGCGAGCCCACCGACGAAGCAACUGUAUUCUACUUCAGCCAUUUUACUACACUGAGAAAAGAGAGAAGAGGAUAAACCCUAAAGGAAAAUAUCAGAAAGAAGAGAUGGGGUGAAAUUGAUGUAGAAAAACCCAUUCUUUUAUAGGCGGAGAUGGCUCUAGUGUCUAUGGGCUUUUAAGUAAUUGGAUUUCGCGUCUCGGUCUAUGACGUCAUUAUGGCAUAUCAAUUUCUUGAGCUUACCAACUUGUUUAAACCUCUUAUAUUUUCCACCGAAAUUGUAUUUCAGAUGUGAAUUAUGACCACAUCAAGUUUUUGACUUUAAAUACUACUCCCUCUUUUUCAAAUUAUGUGAACUUUUUUGGUCUGUUUCAAGAAGAAUGAUCCCUUUUUAAAUUUGGUAAUAAUUUAGUUUAAAUUUACAAUUCUACUUUUAAUGAGAAACUUUUAUAACCACACAAAUAUUCUGGACCCUUUUUGACUUAUUUAGGUCAUCUCCAACAUUGCCCCUAUCCCCCGUAAUGGGGGAAAUAUUUGGGGGAAUUUAGCUCCAACCCUUCCCUAUUUUUGUCCCCAAAAUGGGGAAUGAAUAGUGUUCCCUCAAAUAUGGCGGUACACUAUUCAUCUCCUCCAUUACUAUUCAUCACUUUUUAUUAUUAUUUUAUUAUUUAGUCUUUUAAUUUAUCUCUUUAUAUAUACCUAAUUAUGUUUAUGUAAUGUAUUUAUAAUAUUAAUAUUAUAUCUUAACUUUGGUGUAUAAUUUUAAUAAAUUAAUUUUCGUGCAUUUAUUAUUUUUAUGUAGAAAUGGCAGUAGAUGAAAUCAACGAUUUCAAGAAUUUUUAUUUCAACAUAGAAGAAUUAAGGACAAAGAUGCUCAUUUUGCACUUCGUAAUGCAUUAAUAGAUCAUUUAUAGAAAAAUACUAGAGGUUGAAGUUGAAUAUGUAUCUAGUAUUUCGAAUGAAUUUUAUCGUUAUGCAAUAUGUAUUUAAUUAAUCUUGUAUCACAAUGAUUUCACUUUUAUUGGAAUUAUUAGUUAAUCUAUAAUAAUUGCUUACAAAUUAUAUUAUUUAAAAUUUUAUGGAAUUGUUUUAAUUAUGAAAAUUACAAAUUAAUAAAAAUAAAAGAUGGAAUUUGUUUAAUGGAAAUUAAAAAAUGAAAUGAAAGAUAAUAAUAUAAUAUAGAAGAGAGAUAAGAAUAUAAAAAAGUUUGGGGAAAAAAUGGGGGAAUGGUUGGAGUAAGCUGUCCCCAAAAUGGGGUAAAGAUUGGAGAUGCCCUUAGGAUCACAAAUUCCAAAAGUCUUCAUUUUUUCUUAAGCUUCGUGCCCAGUCAAACAGGUUCACAUAAAUUUGAACGGAGGGAGUAUAUACUAAUCAAAAAUAUUUAUAACGUCUAGUAAGAUCCAUCGUAGUCUAUAAUAUACGAAAAGCGAAGAUAAGAUGGUUCAUGCAAGUGCACAGAAAGAGCGCAAUUGCUCCAGUGAGGUGCGAGAGGUUGGUAGUGAUAAAUCUAAGGAGAGAUAGAGGAAGACCGAGAAAAAAUUAGGGAGAGAUGAUUAAACAGGGCAUGACACAUCUUCAGAUCAACGAGGACAUUGAUCCAUGACCCUAGAUAUGAGAGCAUGAAGGUCAAGGAAUAGGGUAGCUGAUUAGUAGAUAGUCGAGCGAUUUUUCUCUUUUCUGUAGGAGAGAAAGAUUCUAGUUUAAAGAACUUUAUAUGCUUCCUCUCCUACUCGUCAAUAGGGUUGUUUAAAUCCGAACUGUAAAGUGGCUUAUUGGCUUAUUGGUAUCGGGUUAUCGGAUUAACAAUUGGGAAACGAAUUGAAAUUUUAUAAUUAAUGGUCCAUCGAUUCGGGGGAGGAUUACUCAAUUUUCUUAUCGGAUAAACCAUUAACCCGUUAAGAAUUGUUAUAUUUAUAUUUUUACCCAUUAUGAAACAGCUUCUUAGCAGCUUGAGCUUCAAUGUCAUCAUAACUUAUUUUUGGGGUAGGACUAGACUGAUAUAGAUAGUUCUUGUUACCUUUCUACUCAAAUAAAUCAUUUAACUUGAUAAUUGAAGCAAAAGUAAUGUUAACUGAACUUCUAUUAUUAGUUAAAGAUCCUCAAUUUGUAUUCUAGUUGCUUGUUGUAAAAGAAUUAAAGAAGAAAAAAUGGUCAUUAACAAUGAGGUUCAUUAGUGCACUGGAGUGUGAUUGCGAUUAGAUCGUCUAUCUAUUAUCUACUGUCUUGCUUACUUAUGUAAUUUUUAUUGUCUAUUUGAUUUAGCCAAUAAAUGCUCGAUAAUCGCUAAUCCGAUAUCGGUCCGCCCGAUAUGUUAUAGGGUGGCUAGCGAAUUAGUACUUCUAUAAGCCGAUAACUGAUAAACUGAACCGCUAAGCAUAAAUAUCUGCCCAAUUUGCUGAUAAGCAGCCCUACUUGUCAAUAUCAUUAUUCUAGUUUAAAGAACUUUAUUUGGCUUAAAUUCUAAUUCAAACUACCUUAAAUAUCUAUCAAAUUUUUCCAAAACUAAAAUUCAAACUCCUUGAGAUUUACACAAAUUAUUACAAUAAUACCCACUUGAUACAAAUUUCAAUUUCCGAAAUCUAAAUUUUCAAAUUUAUACUUAAGUGGGCUUCAAUAACUUUUAAAGAAGUUGUGACUCAACUUUUAAUGAAGUUGUGACUCAUCUUCAUUACUUUUCAAAGUAUUUGACUAAACUGUUGUAUCAAAAUAGAUAUAUCAUUAAUUUUAAACUUAGUUUCUUUCAUGAGGUUUGUGUUUUUUGUGAUAUCAUAAAUGCUAUUAUUUCUUGAUUUUAUCUAAUAAGACUUGGAUUGUGACGAAUCGAGGAUGGCACAAAUGAGAAGUUGGGAACAACAUAAGUAGCAAUACUAUUGACUCUCAGGAAACAAUUAGUAAGAAGGGAAAAAGACCAUUAUUGCUCAUGUACUAAUGUAAAUAGUAUAUGUUUGAACUUCCAUUUCACUUUACGUUCAAAAUCCGCCCUACCGUUAACAAACAUGAUAGAACUGCUCCUAAUCCUAAUGGAUGGCCACUGUGGCUCCUGACCCCGCAAAAUUUUUCCACAUAGGAUUCCAAGUCAGCUUUCCAUUAAGUUGAAAGCCUAGUUUGAUAUGACCAAUUUCACUCCCAAAUUUUGUUGACCCAUUUCACUGUGAAAAUAGUGGCUCAUACCCAACGGUUUCUUCUUCUCCCCCAAAAGACACUCCAUUGCUUAGAAUUUAGUGUUCGACUGAAAUCUUGCCAAAAUUUCUCUUCUUCAUUCUCCUCGUAUCUUUGGUUCAUAAAUAUCGCAAGAUAGUUGUUCAUCACAUAUUAGGUGUCAUUGUGGAAUCAUAGCCAACCACUUCACUUCGUCGACUCUAUAUAACCUCGGAAGAAAAUUGUACAAAUGUAUGAGGCCUAAGGUUGUUUAAUUUCAGUUUUCUCUUUUUUAAACAAGAAUUUAUUGUAAUUAUGAAUCUACAAGUUUAGAGUUUUGUAAUGAUCAGCUAAAUGAUCUUUUUAAAUUAUGUUUGACAGCCUAGUUCAUGUGGGUUUUAGGAAUGAAAAGAUAAAAUCUUCCCGCAAUGUGAUUGGACUAAUAUUAAAGAUGUAAUAUCGUCGAUAGAUGAGGUUAAGAUGGAAAGGGGCGAAUUGAAGGAAGAAGUAAUUGCCAUGAAGGCUAUACACCAAUAUGAAGUGAAUAAAGUCAUCAAGUUGGAAUAUAAAGUUGCAAAGACAAGGAUGUUGCUUAUAAUUUCUUGGGAACUUUUCUUGAUUUCUUUGUAGCCUCGAUGAUGAAGUGACUUUUUUGCGAAGACAAGGUUGCUGAUUUUGAGUUAUAUAUCUGUAGCUGACUUUUAGGUCAAUUAUGCUAUGGUGUAGUAGUAUUUGUCACAGUAGUAGUAUUUGCUUUCCAGCCAUGUGCUGCAGGUUCGAUGAUGUUCGUAUAGUAGUAUUUGUUGGUCAAUUUUUUCCCUUAGUGUAUGAUGAUAGUGUAGUAUUCGUUGAUUUCCCUUAGUAGUAUAUGUGUUGCAUAUUUGAUUGUUUUAAAUGUCAUGUUGAAUAUUGAACUAAGUCAUUUAAUUACUUUCAAUCCAAUUUAUUUGACAUAAAAGAUAGCAGCAAAUGUAAAAGUAGAAAACUUACAUGCCAGUCGUAAAAAUGGAUAUAAUUGGAUAACUGAAGUUGAAAAGAGAACAAAACGGACAAUAAUGAAUUGAACAUUCAUCAACAAAUAUUCAUCUUGAUUCAUAAUGUACCAACUAUCAACAUUCAUAAUGUGUGUUUAAUAAGACAAGUGGAUACCAUAUUAUAACCCAAAAAGAUGUCAACACCUAGUUAUAAUAUGGCAUCCAACUAUCACAACCAAAGAACCACAACCAAAAUAUAAAAUUUACUGUCAUGGCAGUAAUUACAACACUUUUAAAAAUUGACAUCAUAAAAGAAGCUCACUAGAAGCAGAUUUUCAUCAAUUCUACUCCUUACCACGACCCAUUCUUGCUUGCAACUUGGUCAACCUUUGUUUGUUCAACUAAUUUUCAGUAAUGGCAGAAUUUUUCAGCCAUGUUAGCUCCUUUGCUGAGAAAGUAAGCUUUGAUGGUUGACUUACACCGCUUGAAUCACCAACAAAUCCAAUUUGCAUGGUUGCAUCUAGUACAUUUUGUUGUCUCAACUGGAGUCUUGUCCUUGCCUCUAAGAUACUCUUUGGUCUUAUCACUUUCAUCACAAUCAGUGGCAGCUUCAAGUUCAUCAGGUUCAUCAAACUCAUUAUGAUAGAUUAUAUUAGGUAUAUUAAUACUUGGCUCACAUGCCUCUACAACAAAUAUGUUAAUAACAUUAAACUGGUUGUUAACAAAGUCCAAUAAAGUCCUAAUGCCAUAAUCACCUUUUAUUUCAUAGUAUGUACCAGAAGGACCAUUAACUAUCAGUUGUUAGACUCAUACCCUAAGUUAGAAAUAUAUUCAUCCACUAAAUCAUUAUAGGAAAGCAAGUCAGAAUCAAAACUUUACUUGGUGUGCACAAAUUUUCUUGAGUAUGCCAUGAGUGAUUCUUAACCCACUCUACCAUGAUAAAAGAUCAAAUCCAGUAGGACCCUUGUCAGUAAACUAUAGAAUAAAGAAUAUACAUAUUGAAGACACACUAAAAUCACAUAAGGUACUUAAGUAGAAGAAUAAAAAUAUAGAAACAGUAUCAAAUACACACUAAAACGAGUCAACAUAAACAAACAAAAACAAAUGGAAGAAUUAAAAUAAUAGUUAAACUACAUGAAGUACAGCUGGAAACCCCCAAACAAACCAGAUAAGGUAUAGAGAUAAAGGCAUAAAAAUAAAAAUUGUGAGGUACCACAUAUUGAAGAAGUCAUGGAUAUGAGGGACUAUACAUUAAAGUAACAAAUAAAGUGACUUCUGCCCCACCCUCCAAUAAACAAUGCAGAAAAGAACAAAUGAAAACCAAUACAAAAAAUCUGAUUCACUUAUUUUCUACAAAAAAAAAGGUGGGACCACCAAAUAUUAAAUUGAAACCCUAAACCACCAAAGGACUUUUCAAUACCAAGAAAUAAUAAACAAGAUAUGAGGCACAUGCAAAUAAAAAGAAUAAAAUUAGGGUUUAAUAAUGAAAAACUACAUGCAAGUGAAUACAAAUGCAAAAACACACACCUAACAGCUUGAAAUUAUCGAUAAAGAAAGAGAUAAGUGAAAACCCUAACCAACCAAGAACAAUUUUGAAAACCCUAACUCCAUUAAACAACAAAUUCGAAACCCUAUGACAACUAUACUUUGGUUACACACGCCUAUCAGCCUGAAAUAAUCAAUAAUGAAAGGGGGAACUGAAAUAUCUAAACAACCAAGAACAAAACUGAAAGGGAAAAAUCUACAUAUAUAACACAUUCGAAACCCUAGUAAAACUUCACUUCAGUUACAUAUAAGAAAGAGAUAAAACUAACAGAAACAUUAAGUUUUUUGGAAUAAUUUCUUACUUUUAGUUGAAAUUGGCACUGAAACGCAAUGAUUCUACAGACGGUCUUUGUUCUCUCGUUUUCUUUCAAGUACUAGAAGGUUCAACAAAAUGAAGGUCUCUACUCAUUUUUUUCGGGUUAUUUCUAUUUAUUUAGUGGGCAAACGGUUGCGGGUCAAUAUUUUGGGAAUGAAAUAGUUCAAUAUAAUUUGGAGUGAAAUCGGUCAUAUCAAACUAGGCUUUCAACUUAAUAGAAAGCUGACUUGGAAUCCUAAGUGGCAAAAUUUUGCAGGGUUAGGUGCCACAGUGGCCAUCCGUUAGGGUUAGGGGCAGUUCCAUCAAGUUUGUUAACGGUAGGGUGGGUUUUGGAUGUAAAGCGAAAUGGAGGACAAACGUGUACUGUUGCGACCAAAAACACUCACGCAAGUGCACGUGAUCGUCAAGUAAUAGAGAAGUGAGUAGAGUAUCGUUCCCACGAAGACUUAUGAUUAACUGUGACUAAUUCAAACCUAAUUUCUGUAUCUACCCAAGAGAUUGUUCACAAAAGAGAGAUGUAAUUGUUUUACUACUUAAACUAUAAAGAAUUAAUCUAACUAAACCAAGUAACCAAACGAAUAGCAAUUUCGAGUAACAAACAGUAGGAGAGGAUAUUCCAGGGUCACGGGUAUAGUUAACAAUCGUGUUGUGUUCUUGGCUUAGAAUGACUAAUCAAUUUGUCUGGGUUAUUGAUUGACAGGGUUGAUAUUACUCAUAAGAAUCUGUUGAGUUCUUACUCACUUAUUCAAGUCAACUCAAUGCCUAUAUGUCUAUGGAAUUAAGAUUAACAAGAACGCAUUUAUAAUUCCUGUAUUUCAACCAAGCAAGGCAAUUGGAUAUAUGUCUAUCCCAAUUGCGAAUCCGNNNNNNNNNNNNNNNNNNNNNNNNNNNNNNNNNNNNNNNNNNNNNNNNNNNNNNNNNNNNNNNNNNNNNNNNNNNNNNNNNNNNNNNNNNNNNNNNNNNNNNNNNNNNNNNNNNNNNNNNNNNNNNNNNNNNNNNNNNNNNNNNNNNNNNNNNNNNNNNNNNNNNNNNNNNNNNNNNNNNNNNNNNNNNNNNNNNNNNNNNNNNNNNNNNNNNNNNNNNNNNNNNNNNNNNNNNNNNNNNNNNNNNNNNNNNNNNNNNNNNNNNNNNNNNNNNNNNNNNNNNNNNNNNNNNNNNNNNNNNNNNNNNUUUUUCUCCAGAUUUCCAAUUCUACCCUAAAUAACGUUUUUCCGGACCGGACACGCGCGAGCUCGCGCAUAACUUCGCGCGUUUCUUCGCGCAUGAUUCUGCCUCGGCCUUUCUUACGCGCGAACUCCUGCGCGCCUUCGCGCAUUUCUUCGCGCACCUGGAGCUUGAUUUCGUCCAUUUUUUCAUCUCGUCCUUGCGCGCACUCAACUCCGAGGGGUUGUUCUUGCUCAUAAAUCAUUGUAAUAUCCUCUUGAAAGCAUCAUACAGGCUCCUCGUCCUGCAAUGUAUACAUAUCACAAUUAAAGCCUAUUUUUCAUCAAUUAACCAUAAUAUGUCAUUGGAAUAUAAUCAAGCGGAAGCAUAAACAAUAGCUAAAUCACCUAGAUUUUGCCUAUUAUCAUGUACUAUUUAUAAUAGUACAUGAGCAAUUACGGUCUUUUUCCCUAUUAAGAAAAAAAAAAGCGAACUAUUACUGCUCUUUUAGCACAUGAUAAGGUUAGCAAUCAAAUUUACAUGAAAGAACACGAGUGAUUAGACAUCUAAUUAUUUUGCCAAGCUCAUAUUCCUCACUUUAUUAAGAAUUAAUUUUGUUAUUUUUCUAUCAAGAGAAAGAGGUUAGAACUAGAGUAAGCCAAGAGAAAGAGAAAAUCAUACAAAUAGCUAAUUGAGCUAAUACUAAUAGUAUUUGACUAAGAUUAGUAAUAUUUUAUAAAUUAAUUAAUAUUGGUAGCAUUUGUACUAUAAAAAGUUAAACUAGGUAGUUUUCACUUAUUCAUAUCUCCAGAAGUUUUACAAAGCAAAUAAGCAUUGGCAUAUAGAUUAAGAAAUAUAGAAAUUUGAAAUAAAAGAAUAGAAGAAUAUUGUAAAGAAAAUGGAGAGGGAAUUCUAUUGAUUUGAGAUGAAUUGUAACGGAAUAUAAUUCCUCUAUUUAUAGAAAAAAGUGACUUGGCCACAAAGUAACAAACCUUAGACAUUCACCUUAAAUAAAAUUCUAUUUAUAACACUCUCCCUAAAAUGUCUAUUCAACAAAUAAUGUGCCUCGUUAACACCUUAACUAAAAUAAAACCCAGUGGAAAAAAUUCUAGUGAAGGAAAAAUAAUGCACAUAUUUAAAAAUACGUCUUUUGGUUGCCUCGUUAAAAACCUUUCAAGGAAAAUCCAGUGGGACAAAACCUUAUAAGGGAAAAAGAGUACAACACAUAUUAAUUCCCCCUGAUGAGAGCAUCAAUUCACGUCUUUAAGCCUUCGCAUUCCGAUCUUGUACACUAGCUUCUUGAAGGUUGACAUCGGUAGAGAUUUGGUGAACAAAGCAGCCAUAUUAUCACUUGAACGAAUUUGUUGCACAUUGAUAUCACUAUUCUUUUGAAGAUCAUGAGUAAAAAAUAACUUUGGUAAAAUGUAUUUUGUCCUAUCUCGUUUUAUGAAUCCUUCCUUCAAUUGGGUUAUGCAUGUUGCAUUGUCUUCAUACAAAAUUGUGGGUAAUUUGUCAUACUUCAAACCAUAUUUUUCUCAAAUAAGAUGUAUUAUAGACCUCAACCACACACAUUCUCGACUUGCUUCAUGAAUAGCAAUUAUCUCAGCAUGAUUAGAUGAAGUAGCUACGAUUGAUUGCUUAGUCGAUCGCCAAGAUAUGACAGUACUUCCAUAUGUAAACACAUAGCCUGUUUGAGAUCGAGCCUUGUGAGAGUCGAAUUAAUACCCAGCAUCGGCAUAACCAACAAGAUCGGAACUGCAAUCAUUGCCAUAAAAUAAACUCAUAACGCUAGUCCUUUUUAGAUACCACAAUAUAUGUUUGAUUCUAUUCCAAGGUCUCCUUGUAGGAGCAGAGCUAUAUCUUACUAAGAUAUUAAUUGAAAAAGUUAUGUCGGGCCCUUGUAGUAUUAGCAAGAUACAUUAGUGCACCAAUUGCACUAAGAUAUGGUACUUCAGGAUCAAGUAGCUCUUCAUUAUUUUCUUAAGGUCGGAACGGAUCCUUAUACAUAUCAAGUGAUUGAACAACCAUCGGAGUACUUAAUGGAUGUGCUCCAUCCAUGUAAAACCAUUUAAAUACCUUUUCUAUAUAGGCAGAUUGAUGAACAAAAAUCUCAUUUGCCAAAUGUUCAAUUUGCAAACCGAGACAUAAUUUUAUAUUUCCGAGAUCUUUCAUCUAGAAUUUCCUCUCUAAAUAAUCAAUUGUCUUUUGGAGUUCUAUAGGAGUUCCAAUAAGGUCUAUGUCAUCAACAUAUAUGGCAAGUACAACAAAUUGCGAUAUUUUUUUCUUUAUAAAAACGCAUGGGCAAUUAUACCAUAUUCAUUUUGAUUGCUUUAGACCAUACAAAGAUCUUUGCAAUUUGAUUGAAAAUAUUUUUUGAGACUUUGAAUUAUGUGAUCGGGCAUUUUAAAUCCUUCAAGAAUUUUCAUGUAUAUCUCAUUAUCAAGUGAGCCAUAAAGGUAGGGUGUAACCACAUCCAUUAAAUGCAUGUCAAGCUUUUCAUGGACAACAAAGCUAAUGAGAUAAUGAAAUGUUAUUGCAUCCAUAACAGGUGAUUAUGUCUCUUUAUAAUCGACCUAAGGCCUUUGUGAAAAUCUUUGUGCAACAAGGCGUGCCUUAUAUCUUUGCACCUCAUUUUUAUCAUUGCUUUUACGUACAAAGACCCUUUUAUAGCCAACACACUUAACACCAUUAGGUGUUUGGACUACAUGCCCAAAAACUUCACGUUUCGCAAGUGAAUCCAACUCGGAUUGGAUUGCUUCUUGCCAUUUUGGCCAAUCACGUCUUUGUGAAUAUUCUUCAACAAAUUGAGGUUCAAGAUCCUCACUAUCUUGCAUAAUGCUAGAUGCAAUAUUAUAUGCAAGGACAUAAUCCAACACUAUAUCCAGUCGAUUAAAAUCUGUCUCAAUAUCGAUUGGAUUUGUUGAUAGUUCCUUAUUUUCUUGAGUCUUAAGCUCAGUGAUUUCUUCAUGAAUCUCAGGAUUGGUUCAAUCGUGGAUUUCUUCAUGAUUCUCUUUCGUAGUGUCAUCUUGAUCAUUUGUUUUCCUUUUUCUAGGAUUUCGAUCCUUAGAACUCAAUAGUUUUUCACGUUUUAGGCGUGCUUUUGACUCAUUAGCUAUGAUACUAGAAGAUUGUCCAACGGGAAUAUCAACACGGAUUGGAACAUUCACUAUAGGGAUAUGUGAUUUUUUAUCCUUUUCAGAUCCGUAAAUGCACUUGCCAUUUGAUUUGCUAUUUUCUAAAAAAGGAUAAUAUUUAGCACCUCUUUUUCAUAAAUAAAGGCACGUGGAACAAGAUGAGACAAUGAUGGAUUUUUCACGUAAUUUCUCAUUUGGUUUCACCAAUUUCUCCCCCUAAUUUUGGGAAAAGUGUCUCAUCGAAUCGACAUUCUACAAAUCGAGCAGUGAACAAAUCCCCCAUUAAUAUUUUGAGGUAGCCAAUAAUAGAGGGUAAUUCAAAUCCAACAUAUAUUCCUAACCUUCUUUGAGGAACCAUCUUGGUGCGAUAUGGUUGUGCUACUGGCACAUAUACUGCGCAUCCAAAUAUUCUUAAAUGAGAUAUAUUAGGUCCAUGACUCAAAACUAAUUGCAACGGAGAAUAUUUAUGAUAAUUUGUCGGUCUCAGACGAACCAGCAUUGCUGCAUGCAAAAUGGCAUGACCCCAAACAAAAGUGGGUAAUCUCGUUUUCAUGCGUAAUGGUCUUGCUAUCAAUUGCAGAAAUUUAAUUAAAGACUCUGCAAGACCAUUUUGAGUGUGAACAUGAGCUACAAGAUGUUCUACUGUUAUCCUAAUUGAUAAGCAAUAAUCAUUAAAUACUCGGGAUGAAAACUCAGCAGCAUUAUCGAGUCUAAUAGACUUAAUUGGAUUGUCAGGUAAUUGUGCCCGUAAUUAGAUUAUUUGUGCCAUUAAUUUUGCAAACGCUAGGUUGCGAGAUGACAAUAGGCACACAUGAGACUAUCUACAAAUGCAUCUAUUAAGACCAUAAAGUAUCUGAACGACCCAUUAGGUGGAUGAAUAGUGUAUGGGUCAAAAUCUUACCAAGGUAAUCUUGCCUAAGAAAGGAUAACUAAGAACUGAUUAGGCUGAGGUCGUGCUUAAGAAGAAACCUAUUGGCGAGCUGAGUAGCUAGGGUCGAGGUCGAGUACUCUAAUCAGCCCAAACGGCUAGUUUAGUAAUAAGAUAUUUUAUAGGAAUAUUUUAUAUAAUAUUCUAUGCACUUGUACUUUCAGUUAGGUAAAGGAUAUGUCCCAUAUAAGUGGGAAUGGAGAGAGAAUAAAGGGCAUGUAAUAUUCUAUACGAUAAGUUCUCUCAUGAAACGUUGACUCGGAAAAAGAUUACAAACAUUGUCUUUACAAAAAGAUUCAGUUUAUUGUUGAUCUUACACUUUCUCGCAUCAGAUCCCAGAAAGCUUUCUAUUUUCCACAUUUGUUUGUCUUGCAUCAUUGUCAGAGGGAGAAUCAUCCACCUCAUUAAAUAUUUGGGUGAAUCAUUCUCUCGAUUUACAUUUAUUGACAUUUAAUAUAUUUAUUGCUUGUCAUUACUCCCCCACGCAUUUGUAACAAUAUCAUUUAAUAUCCAUUUUUAUUAAAUUGGUUUAAGUGCAAUUAUAAUAUUAUACAUUGUUCAUAUCAACCGAUUUCAGAUCUAGGAUUUAUUAUGUUUAACUAGGAUUUAUCCAUUACCAUCUUAUUUAAUUAGUUUAACAAAAAGGCUUAAUACUUUUUGGUCAAAUAAUUUGGUGCCCUCUGUGGGAAAUUUUCUAAUUAAAAUUUUAGUUUCUUCUAGAUCCAAAAAAACACACAAAACUUUGCAAAAUCUCUAAUUUCCUUGUUUGCACAAAUCUGACAUGGCAGGCAACAGAGAGGAAAAGAGGAAGGCGAUAGCCGACCUCACUACCAACCUCCUCCACACCAUUAACGAAGUGGACGAAAUGGAGGGCGAAGACAUAACACAAAACACCUCUCCCAGGCAAAACAGCUCGCCUUCACCUCUCGGUAGCAUUACGACCUCGCACGGUAAGAGUGCCUCUGCAUCCACGACAGAAGAGGAACCACCAGUAGUGAAAAAUCUACUUGAAACAUGGUUGACAAACACGCUAACCAUCUUCCUCGACAAACCCGCUAGGAGGUCGAGUAGAGAAGAGACAAGAGUCGGCGUCGCAUCAGCAGCUGACGAGCAGCACGCCCCCUCCCACAACAGGUAUUACCUUCAAUGUUAGUGAUGCAAGUAAUGACACCCUCAAAUCCAUUUUGAGGAAAAUGGAGGAGAUGGAGAAUGAGAACAAAAUGCUCCGUAGCCAAAUGAAAGAGCACCAAAAAAGGGUAGACAAAAUACCGGAUGCCCCAAAACUUCUGCCAAAAAGAGACGUCGGUCAGUUUGUUGUGCAACCAUAUAGCGAUGAGGCUGCACCAUACAUCAUACCAAAGACUUUCAAAAUGCCGUCGUACUUAAAAAUAUACGACCGCACGAUGGACCCGGAGGAUCAUGUGACCCUCUAUGUCACUGCAGUAAAAGGAAAUGACCUCGUAAAAGAACAAAUAUCAUCCAUAUUGCUGAAGAAGUUUGGAGAAACCCUAACCGGGGGAGCACUGACUUGGUACUCACAGUUACCUGCGCGUUCUAUAGAAACGUUCAAGGAAAUGGCAGACAAGUUCAUCACCACCCACGUCGGGGCUAAGAAAGCAUAGGCGAGGGUGAACGACAUUCGCCAUCAAGCAAUCACCUGGCGAAGGACUCAGGGACUUCCUCACCUGGUUCAACCGUAUAAUAAUGACCCUUCCAAAUGUAUUUGAGGGGAUGGUGAUAGCCGCUUUCCAGAAUAGGCUAAGUAGAAGUGGGCCGAGGGUGACCAAAAAGUUGCUAAGCCAACUCAUGAAAUACCCUUCAACCACUUGGGACAAGAUACACAACGCCUACUGUGCUGAGGUAAGAGCCGACGAGGACGAUCUCAACGGACCUACACAACAUUUGACCUCGGUCCAAAUGGAGUAUAGGAAAGACCGGAGAAAUGAUAACAGGAGAGAUCUUUCGGGAUCCCGACCUAAUUGAGAGAGACAUAAUCCUUACGUUAGAGGCACCCUCAUGCCACCUCCACGCCACGAUGAAGGUCUAUCCAGGCCGGAAACGGGAAUCCACCAAAAUGAGAGAGGUAUGCCCCCUUUAUUAUCUGCUCACAAUUUUUGUGUUUCCCCCUCAGAAAUAAUCUACGCACUGGAUAAGCUCGGCCCAAAAGUGAAAUGUCCACAAAAGAUGAGAUCCGACCCGAGCAUUAGAAAGUCAAAUGUCCUCUGUGAAUUCCACUAGGAGCGGGGUCAUAAAACCGAUGAUUGUAUUUUCCUAUGAUAGGAGUUCGUGAACAUGCUUCAUCAAGGGCACUUGAAAGAACUGAUGAGCGAUCGUGGGAGGGCUAACUUCACCCGAGGGCAAGAACAACAUCAGGGACCGCCCAAACCACCUUCCCCAUCUCGGACCAUUCAAAUGAUCAUCGGAGGAGGCGACGAUGCAUCUAUCAACAACAUGAAGUUCACCACCACCCACAAACUCAAACGGUACAUCACCCACAAACGGUAUGACAAACUCGAAGAAAGUAUCAUCAUCGAUAAGUCAGAAACCCACGGUUUAGUCCUUCCUUACUAUGACACUCUUGUAAUUACUUUACGUGUCCUUGAUACUGAAAUAAAAUGUGUUAUGGUCGAUAAUGGGAGUGGUGCAUUCAUCAUCCACCCUCGAGUUCUCACCCAAAUGAAGCUCGAGGACAAGAUAGUGUCGCGUUGCAUCACACUAACAGGCUUUAACAAUGCAGUUGAGCUGGCAUAUGGAGAAAUCACGCUGCCUGUCCUGGCUGGCGGCGUCACUUUGGACACCACAUUCCACAUCAUGGACCAGGAUACGGUGUACAAUGCCAUCAUAGGCUGACCUUGGAUACACGCCAUGAAAGCCUACCCCUCCAGCUUAUACCAAGUCAUCAAAUUUCCUACCCCCUAGGGAGUAUUAAGCAUCCUAGGAGAGAAAUGCACGGCUCGAGAAUGCUACCGCAUCGCCUAAGACUGCACAUACACCCAACAACUAAAAGGAAAGGCCGAAGAGGCAUAACAAUUAACGAAGUCGGGGUCAGAUGGCGAUGUGGGGAAAGACGUCGUCCGAGAGCCCAAAAUCGUAGAAGCCACAAGGUCAACCGUAGAGGACCUCAACCCUAUCCAACUAGACGAUAACAACCACAACAAGAAAGCUUUCAUCGGCCAUAAGCUCCAAGAUCCAGGAAAAUUUCACCAAUUCUUAAAAAGUAACGUAGACCUGUUUGCUUUUUCCAAUGCAGACAUGCUAGGUAUCCCGAAGGAGAUAGAAACUCACAAGUUGAAUGUAGACCCCUCCAAUGAGGCAAAUUAGACGAAAGUUCAACUCCGCAAUAAAUGACACGGUUCGCGAAGAGGUUGAAAAAUUAUUAGAAAAUGGUUCUAUUAGAGAAUUGAAGUACCCUCAAUGGGUCACCAACUUGGUCAUGGUGAAAAAGAAGAACGGAAAGUGGCGGAUGUACGUAGACUUCACGGAUCUGAACAAAGCCUGCCUAAAAGACUCAUUUUGGCUGCCCCAUAUCGACAAACUCAUCGACUCUAUAGGCAUGAACUGCUAAUCUUCUUAGACGCCUACUCAGGCUACAGCCAAAUCCUCAUGGAGGAUGAGGACCAAGAAAAAACCACUUUCAUCACCCAUCAGGGGACAUACUGCUACAAGGUGAUGUCGUUCGGAUUGAAAGACAUAGGGGCAACAUAUCAGAGGCUAAUGACCAAAAUGUUCAAAGAUCAACUCGGCAAGACCAUGGAAGUAUAUAUAGAUGACAUGUUGGUUAAGUCAAAAAGGAAAGGAGACCAUAUCGACCACUUCAGGGAAGCCUUCGACAUACUCAGAAGGUACGACAUGAAAUUGAACCCCGAAAAAUACGCCUUUAGUAUAACCUUUGGAAGUUCCUCGGCUUCUUGGUAUCGCAACGAGGCGUCGAGGUCAACCCCGACUAAAUCAAGUCCAUAGAAGGAAUCCCAGAAAAUUUAACUAGCAAGAAACAAGUGCAAAAGCUAACCGACCGGAUAACCGCCCUGUCGAGAUUCAUCUCACGGUCCUCCGGUAGGUGCCACAAAUUUUUCAGCAUACUCAAAAAGGAUAACGGACUCCAAUAGAAUUUCGAGUGCGUCGACGCCUUAAAAGAACUAAAGGCCUACCUGUCUUCGCCCCCAUUGCUCACUAAGGUAGAACCUGAAGAGCGUCUCCUUGUCUACCUGGUCGUGUCCAUUGUCACAGUAAGUGCAGUCCUGGUACGAGAAAAUAAAGGUAUGCAGACUCCAAUCUACUACAUUAGCAAAACCUUGACCGACGCUGAAACGAGGUACCCCUACCUCGAGAAGCUAGAUUUGGCCUUGGUCGUAGCUUCAUGAAAGCUUAGACCUUAUUUCCAGUGCUACCCCAUCUUGGUGGUCACGACUUUUCCUCUAAGGAGUAUCCUGCACAAACUCGAACUAUCAGGCAAAUUGGCCAAGUGGUUCAUAGAGCUAAGCGAGCACGAUAUAACCUAUCAUCCGCAAAUGGUGAUAAAGUCGCAAGUUCUUGCCGACUUCGUCGCCGAUUUAAGUACGAAGAUAAUGCCCGAAGUAGAAAGGGAUACCACCACUACUUCCGUCAAAAUGCACAACCAUUGGGUCUGUACACUGAUGGUACUUCUAACGCAUCAGGAUCUAAACUAGGACUCGUGCUCGAGGUCCCAAUAGGCGAAAUAGUUUGCUAGUCCAUACGGUGCCCUGAUAGGACUAACAAUAAGGCCGAGUAUGAGGCCAUGAUUGCAGGGUUAAAACUGGCACUCAAGUACGGAGCACAAUAAGUGUCCUGCGAUGCGACUCGCAACUCAUCGUUAACCACGUUACAGGGACUUUCCAAAUUAAAGAGCAACAACUACAGAAAUACAAGGCCGAAAUUUGCAAACUGUUACCUGAGUUCGACGAAUGUCAGAUCGAUCAAAUAUCCCAAGGGCAGAACAUCGAAGCGGACGAUGUUAAACCUCCUUUUUCUCGAGGGGCAUAUGGAGUUUUUCCAAUUAAAGGGACAAUAAUCGAAAUAGGAUUAUUUAUUUAAUCAGAGUCUCCACAUGGGAUAAUUUUAUGGUGUCCCAAGUCACCGGUUUAUUUUAAACCCCAAAUCGAGGAAAUUGAUUCUAUUUAUGAUUUGAGAAAACCAAAAGACCGGGUAAGGAAUUUUGUUAAUCCGGGAGAAAGUGUAGCAUGGUCGCUUUAAUCAUACCUGGCUUAAUUAAAUUAUUUUAAUUACGUAUUUUAGAUCCUAUGUGCAUUUUACCUUUUACUGCUUUUAGAUUGCUUGAUUAUUCGUAAUUAUGAAAUUAUUUUGAAACGAGUCACGCGUAUGUGUACUCGUUUGUUUGGCGUGUCGAAGUCAUGUCACACGUACGUGUACACAACUAAUAACACUUUAUUAUUAUUACGAUUGUUUGGCCAAAGUCAUGCGAACGUGUACCUUGAUUUAUUUUGAAAAUCAUAAUUAUGUCACGCGAACGUGUACACAAUCACGAUGAUAGAUUAAGUCGCGCCUAAAGCAUUUUCUACGAAUAUUCAUUUUUAAAUCGUACUCGUGUCACGCGAACGUAUACACAAUUAAUAACAUUUUAUUAUUAUUAAGUCACCCAAUGUUGCGCGAACGGAUACUUUGGUCUUAAUUUGAAACCCGUAAUUAUAUCAUGCGAACGUCGAAAAUCUUAAAGAUUGCCUACCCGAGUCAUUGGCCUAAACAUGCUCCUAGCGGUUCAAUUAAUUAAAAGAGUAAUAGAAAUAUUUCAAUUAACUUUUAACUUUCAAUCCAAUCCCACGGCCAAAUACUUGUUUUAGUAUCUAAAUCAUCAUCCAAUUCAAUUAAUAAAUUAAUUUAACUCUGGAGUCACCAAAAUGUUAAUCAAAAUGCCUUAAACAUCUAUCUCUUAAUGAAUAAUUAAAAUAGGCAAUUUAACUCAUCUGACCAUUAGUUUCAUCCGAAUAGGGGCUAACCAAUUAACAAGAACAAAUGGAGCAAAUAAAUAGUAAGAAGUCAUCGAAAUAGAGUAAUGAAACGUUAACAUUCAGUAAAACACAGCAACAACAAACUAAUAAAACAAUAAAAGCAUAAUAUUAAGCAAAAAAUAACAGAAGGAAGGAAGAAAAUGACCUCAAAACGAUAGAACCCCGGACGAAACUCGAACCGAAAACCAACAGACAGUACCCUGACGCACGACUGAAAUGGAUCCCCUGAACAACAACCACCGACGACCUCGAAGCUUGCCGAAAAUAUCAAACUAAACUAAAAAGACAAAAACUAAACUCUGGCUGGUUUUUAGCAUUAAAGAUGCAAAAUCAUAGGGGUUUUGGAACUGAUUUUUAUGGGGUUUUAUGGUUCUGCUUUUUUAGGACCCUAUUUCUCUCGUUUUUUUGGACUGAAGAUCGUCGCUGCCCCCUCUCACUCAGUUGCCCUUUGCGUGAGCGUGUAUCUCUGUAUAUGUGUGUGUGCGAAUUCCUUUUAGGUGGUGGGCGGCUGUUUUGUUCUAGAAUGGAGGAGUUAGUCGGCUGGCGGGAGACGACAGAGGCGGAGAUGAGGGAGCAGCAGUGGCAUCGCAGCGACAUGAGCUAUAGCCGUCGCCGGUCAUCACCUCCAUCGGCAACAGCCAUGAUAACUGGAGAUGAAAGGUUGUCUCGUUGUGUCUUUGUGUGUGUUUGAGUGAUGUUUCUUCCAAGUGAGGGCGAUGGGUGAGAGAUGGUAGAGGUAAGAGGCAUUACCAGUGUUGGUUUUCCAGCAAUGAAGGCAAGAGAAAGAUCAGAUCCUUUUUCUCUAAAGGAACGGUCGCCCGUUCUCCAGUCCCGUUCAAGAGAGAUAGCUGAUGUCUUUUUAGGGAGUAGGAAUUAGGUUAGGUCAAAUGGGGAGUGUGUAUGAGCUUGAGCGAGUUGGUCUCGAUUUGGGCCUUUGGUGGCCCAAUUUGUGCUCAAAAAUUGGGAAUUUCAACUCUUAAAGUCCACAAAUUAAGAAACACAAUAAUUUUAAUAUAUACUAUUAAAUAUAAAAUCAAUUCCAAUUAAUUAAGGCAAACUAUAUGAAACUAUUUUUGUAUUUUUUAAAUUUUUGUGCUUUAAGACUAGAAUUAAAAUUAAUAAUAAAGUGAAAUCCUAUAGAAAUAAUUUAAAUAAAUAUACUAAGACUAUUAAAGAUAAUUCUAAUGUACAAGUCAAAAAUUACGUGCUUAAAGACUGCCUCGCCAAACUGGCAGCGGCCACCAAAAGCAUAACCGGAGAAGGGAACGUGAUCACCCUCCUCCAUUUAUCGAUUUGAUCAAAUCGAGGUACGAACUAUAAACUUGACUCGAGACUGGCGCAAUCGUAUUAUCUCAUAUUUUCACGACGGGGAGCUCCCACCCGAUAAAAAAGAAGCCAAGAAGCUUCGAAUGCAGGCAUCCAGGUACAACGUCAUCAAUAAAGACUUGUAGAAAAGAACAUUUGGCGGCUAGCAAAGUGCGUGCGGAGCUCAUACCGGCAAUCGAGCUCUCAUCAGAUGCCUCAUACGAGUGGACUACUAUUGGCCCACGAGGAAAAAGGAGGCCGCCGACUUCGUAAGAAAAUGCGAGAAAUGCCAAAAAUAUGCCCCCAUGAUUCACCAAACGGGCGAGCACCUCCACUCAGUCACCUCGCCUUUCCUUUCAUCAAAUAUGGAAUAGACAUCGUUGGACCCCUCCCAGCGGGACGAGGUAAUGUACGAUUUCAUUUAGUUUUAACUGACUAUUUUUCUAAGUGGAUAGAAGCAGGUGCAUUCGCCUAAAUAUGCGAGCAAGUGAUUACAUUCAUAUAUAGAAAUAUCAUAUGUCGCUUCGGCAUCCCCAAAGAAAUCAGUUGUGACAAUAGGCCCCAGUUCACUAGAAAAAGAUCGUCGAUUUCUUUGAAAAAUGGCACAUUAAAAGAAUACUCUCCAUGCUAUAUUACCCCGCGGGCAAUAGUCAGGCGAAGUCCUCCAACAAAUCAAUAAUGAACAUCAUGAAAAAAAAGCUCGAGAACGCCAAGGGACUGUGGUCGAAAUUGCUGCUGGAAGUGCUAUGGGCAUACCGCACAAUGCCGAAAACAAGCACAGGAGAAACACCACAUUCACUAGUCUAUGGGACCGAUGUAGUAAUACCGGUCGAGGUUAGAGAACCAAGCCAGAGAUAUUCGCACGAGAGCGGACCGGUUAACGACGAAAACAGGAGGCAAAACCUCGAUGAGGUCAGAGAGCGAAGAGAUAUGGCUUACACAAGGAUGGUCGCUCAAAAACAACAAGCGGAGCAAUAUUACAACAAAAAAGCUAAUGUCAGACCACUCAAAGUAGGAGACUACGUACUCAAAGCCAAAAUACAGGCGAGCAAGGACCCACGAGAAGGAAAACUAGGGACUAAUUGGGACGGCCCAUAUAAGAUUACGACAUGAGCAAGCAAAGGGUCAUUCCAACUAGAAACAAUGGAGGGGAAAUUAUUGCCGAACAAUUGGACUGACACCCACCUCAAGUACUUUAACUUAUAAGAAAAGAUGUUAUCCGGGCCUUACUCUUUUUUCCCUCACCUGAAUUUUGUCCCAACUAGGUUUUCUUAAGGAGGUUUUUGAUGAGGCGACAAGGGAGACAUCUCAUAGUUUAAGGCUCGAGCAGGAUAGAUUGCAAGUUAACAAGUUCAUUGUCUGACCCAUCAAAUACUUCUCUGGGUCGAACAAUAAAGGGACUAGAUAAACUGGGACUAGAAUACCAGCCCGAAAAGCAUGUAAACUUAUAUAUAUAUAUAUAUGAAAUCAAAGCAUACAAACACAUGUUCGAAUCAAGUUUUUACUCGAAUUGACUCGCAUUCAACCUCGCUCGAAUUGACUCCCAUUCGACCUCAUUCGAAUUAACUUGCAUUCGACCUCGUUCGAAUCAACUAAGAUCCAACAUUCGACCUCGCUCGAAUCGACUCACGUUCGACCUCGUUCGAAUUAACUCUCAUUCGACAUCGUUUGAAUUAACUAACAUUCGACCUCAUUCGAAUUAACUCACGUUCAACCUUGCUCGAGUUAAUUAAACAUUCGACAUCAUUCAAAUUCAUAUUCGAUCACACUCGAAUUUAACUCAUGCUCAACCUGAAUUAAGUUUGAUUUACAACUUCGUUCGAAUUAAGCACGACAUGGGACUUCACCCAAUUCAACCAAAGAUACACUCGACCAUGUUCGAAAUAGCAGGUACCAACACAACUCUUCCGAAGAAAAAUAUUCGAAGAAAAGUAAAAGGGCCAAGAACAUACAACGAAAAGUCAUGAUCAUUCCAUUCCAAAAAAAUAAAAUAUCUUACAAAGGGCCAGAAAGACUCCCCCACAAAAAAAGAGAAGAAGAACAAAAACUAAGUACAAAAGCAUCACGCUACAUCAUCUCCGCCUUCGCCUUUGCCACCUUCACCGCCCAGACCAGCAGUGCCGUUUCCAUCAUCACCCCCGCCAUCGGGAUAGUCAUCAUAAUACCAAGCAUCAUAUGCAAGCCCGUCCAAGUCCUUUUCACCAUCACCGGUCCCCGGCGUAGUGGGGUCAUAACUACAGGCAAUCCUAGCGUCAUGUGCCUUAAAAUGGGCAUCUUCAAAAUCGGCCUCAGGAACCUUCCCCGCCAUCAUCAAAUUCCUAUAUAUGUCUAGCUGAGCCUCAACGUGGAUCCACAUCUCAUACAAAUGCCAAGGAAUGUUGGGGAAAGCAGAAGUAUAAGAGGAGGACGGUCGAGCCAACAACUGUGCCUUCUCGGCCUCAAGAGCGGCAAUUUGAUCACUUGAGCUCAAGACAUCUCUCCCGAGCCCACCAAUUCGCUCGUCAAGCCUUGCCUCUCUUAGCACAGCCGUUUCCGCAUCAGUUGCACGUUCAAACCUAAGGACGCAGAUGGAGUCCUCCAAUGCCGCCACCUUUGCCAAAGUCGCUACCCGGGCCUCCUCGGCCCUCUCCAACUCUAUCACUUUCUCGAUCAACUCACCACUCAGACCGGCAACUCUGAUCAAGCUUUGCUCAAGCUCGGCUCGCAUGGGUCGCCACUUGCACUUUAAGGUUGACACACUCGGCCACGACCCCUUGCUCACCUCAAGUUCGUCUUCCUUGGCCCUAUGAGCCCCCUCGAGCUCACUACAUCUGCCGAUGGUCCGCACGAGCUCCUCAUCCUUCUGGUCCAACUCAUCUCUAAGGGACUAGAGGUUACCGCCUACUAUGAACCGUGCACGCAUCUCACUGUACUUUGUCACAAUACUGGAGAUACUUCGAAACCAUUUUCUGUAAAACAACCUUCUAUUUCUCCUCCAGACGGGCACUCUUGAUCUCCAGAAUGGAUGUCUUAAAAAAGAGGAAAAAAAAAGAGAAGAGCCGAAAAGAGUUUGUAAAGAUAAAAAGAGGAGAAGGGCGCAAAGUGCAAAAGUAACGAGGAAAGAAACUCACCCUCAGAGCCAUCCCAGAUAUGCCUAGUGACAAGUCGGCAUCCUUAAGAGCUUGAAGAGUCCUGUUCUCGGCGGCAGAACAAAGAGGGGCCAAAGAAGGGACCACGCUCACAGUAUCAGCUAGUAAGUCACAGUCCAAAUAUAUGACAAUCGAACGAGAUGAUCCAUCCGUUCUCACCUCAACCCGAGUAAACUCUUUGUCUAAUACCCUCUCUUCCUUAGGGUCGAUAUCGGAGUCGGAUUCAUAAUCGUCUACGACCACUCCUUUCACCCUCUCUUCGGCCGAGGAGGAAACAUCGACCCGCUCUGAUGUUGACGGAUCAAUCCUCGGAAUGACCACAGUAGCCUCUGGUUGCUCCCCUCCUUCCACGGAAGCAAUCUCCACAUUUGACGGGGGCACGAUCUCUAUGUCCAAAGCCAUAUCGCCCCCCGGUUCAGUCGUGGUAAACUCGGGAUUACCCCCCGCGGGCUCCUCCUCCUCGAUUACUCCGUCGUCAACCUCUAUCCUUUGUCUUUUCAGCAUAGCCUCUUCCUCAUCGGCCUGCGAUGACUCAUCCACCAAAUAAAACACUGAAGAAGCCGGAAUCUCCAUUAGUGGGGCAGCAGCCUAGAGUCUAGGCCUACGCGAGGCUGAGGUCCGAGAAGGAACAACAGUCUGAAUGGGGUCGCUUGCAGCCGCAACGAGUAAAGGCCCAGUCGAAGUACUUGACUAGCGAAAAGUGGGAGUAGGAGUGCUCGCGCUCCUCGAGGCCCUAUGACCUACCAAAAGAGAAUGACUUAAGUAAAAAAUGAAAGGAGAGAAAAGACGGUACGAAGGUCAAAACUACUAAGAUCGAAGUGAAAUGACUCACCGGCUGAAGGUUUGCGCCCAAACCUCUCAUUGAACUGCGACCACUCAUGGAUCCCCAUCGUAUGAGGUAAAAUUUGGCUCACCCAGUAACAAAGGUCGGUGACCAGCAAAGGAGGAUCCUUCUCGGCAACAUAAAAAAGAAGAGGAGUGAGAACGAUCAGAUCGCCAAAAAGAAACAACAAACAGCUAUUUGGGAGAAACACUUACGAGCAAAGUUUCAUUCCUCGAAAAACCCAUUAGGGCUCGACGCCACGUGCUCCAUCCUCACGUAGAAGAAAUUGACCCAAAACGGCGAUUUGUUUUAUCAUAUAUCUUCACCACCAGUCCCUUUGUCCCACGAUAGAGAAGGUGUAUCAUCGUACCCUUGUAAACACUUGGGGCGAAAACGUGCAGCAGAUGACGGAGAGAAAUCCCACGGUUGGCGAGCUCCACGUACUUGAUAAGCAUAAGGAAAAGCUUAUAGAUGUACGGGGAGAGCUGAGCCGGGCAUACACCAUAAUAGCGGUAGAAGUCCUCCGCCAAGGAAGGAAGAGGAAGCAUAUAGCCGACGACAAACAGAUACAUGUAGAACGCGCAGUACCCUGGGCGAUGUAUCUGCUCCACGUCGUUACCGGCAGGGAUAAGUUCAACGUGGUUUGGAAUUAGCCAUUUAGCCCUAAAUGCAACGAGCGCCACUGUAUCCAUCUCAGAAACGACGAGUUCAGGAUCAUCUUCAGGUCGGUUCUUGAAAUCCGACCUGACCCUCCCCGAACAUGGAACUAUCUCAUCCAUAGUGGGGAAACUCUCAUCUUCUACAAUGGCCACUCCUUCUUCAUGAGAAGGUAUGUCCACAGUCGACGCGACAAGAUUAAAAUCUCCCUCAGGGUUAGAAGAUGCACUAGCCAUUUUCUAUCACGUAUAUAAGAAGAAAGUGCAAAUAUAAAAGGGGUAACAAUGGCAGAAAAUGCUAAGAGAAGGGAGAGAUAAAGAUGCAAGAAUUCUGAAUAAGAAGAAGAAGGGGAAGCUUGGAGUUUCGAAUGCUUAAGAAAUGGAGCAGCUCAAAUGAGGAAUUCUCAUCCCUAUUUAUAAGAAUACUGGCACCCUAAUCGAGAAAGUCAAACGCUGCCACAUUGAUUUCAAAACGGAAGAGGCGUGGGAAACGACGUAACGUACUGAGAACAUACGCCAUAAUGACACAUGAUGUAGUGAUGUCAUUUCAAACUGACGUAACGGUCAGAUGUGGCUCUUAAAGCGUCACGUCGUCAUCUCGCCAUAAAAAGGUUACUCCUUGGCCAACAUGCUCAGAUUUCUCAAAUUGCAACUGGCGAAGUCCGUCCAUCGAGCUUGUCUAAAAAUAACCCCGACGGGCGGAGGGACUAACUGUAUGGGUCGAAAUCUAACCAAGAGAAUCUUGACUAAGAGAGGAUAACUAAGAACCGAUUAGGCCGAGGUCGUGCUUAAGAAGGAACCUAUUGGCGAGCUGAGUAGCUAGGGUCGAGGUCGAGUACUGAGAUUAGCCCAAACAUCUAGUUUAAUAAUAAGAUAUUUUAGAGAAAUAUUCUAUAUAAUAUUCUCUGCACUUAUACUUUCAGUUAGGUAAGAGAUAUGUCCCAUAUAAGUGGGAAUAGAGAGAGAAGAAAGGGCAUGUAAUAUUCUAUAUGAUAAGUUCUCUCAUGAAAAGUUGACUCGGAAGAAGAUUACAAACAUUGUCUUUACAAAAAGAUUCAGUUUGUUGUUGAUCUUACACUUUCUCGCAUCAGAUCCGAGAAAAUUUUCUAUAUUCCAACGUUUGUUUGUCUUAAAUCAUUGUUAGAGGGAGAAUCAUCCACCUCAUUGAAUAUUUGGGUGAAUCAUUCUCUUUGUUUACAUUUAUUGUUAUUUAAUAUAUUUAUUGCUUGUCAUUACUCCCCCACGCGUUCAUAACAAUAUCAUUAAACAUCCCUUUGUACUAAAUUGGUUUAAGUGCAAUUAUACGUUGUUCAUAUCAACAGAUUUCAGAUCUAGGAUUUAUUAUGUUUAACUAGGAUUUACCUGUUACCAUCUUAUUUAAUUAGUUUAACAAAAAGGCUUAACACUUUUUGGUCAAACAAAUAGGUCCACAAAUAUUCCUUUAUAUACUUUCCAAAAACGGAGAGGACUUAACCCCAACCUUUGUUGGUGAUAGUCUAAUAACUAACUUGCCUUGAUAACAAGAAGUGCAAGAAAAUUCAUUAAUUAAAAAAAUCUUUAAAUUUUUUAAUGGAUGGCCAUUUGAGUUUUCUAUAAUUAGUUUCAUCAUAAUUGACUUCAGGAUGUCACAAUCGAUCAUGCCAAAGUACAAAAGUAUUGAAGUCAGUAAUUGGUUUACGAUAGAACGUGCCUUAAUUGCACUAAUUAUUGUCCAAUACAAACCACAAAAUAAAGAUGUGAACUUCUCAAGAUAUUCAUUUCGGCGAAUAUCUUUAAAACUCAACAAAGUUCUCUUGAUCUUUGGAAAAGAAGUAUUAUCUAUGAUAACUAUUAUUCCCCUAGGCAGAGUUAUAGUAAUUCUUCCAGAACCGUCAAUCAGAUUACUACUAUCAGAAAUUAUAGUAACAUCUGCUUUACACAUACUUAAUAAGAAAAAAAUAUUCUCUUUGAAUAUUGUAUGUAUCGUACAUGAAUCAAUUAAACAAAUAUUUUUACAAUUGAACUUCGAUCCAAAUUUGCUCUAUGAGAUAUCCAUAUUUUGCUUAAUCUCUCAAGAAAUUCUUGAUACGGUAGAGUCUCGUGCUAAUAACAUGAAAUAAAAUAAUAAAAAAAUAUUGCAAAAAAAAAAAGGAAGAGCGAAUUCUAUCGAUUUGAGAUAGAAUUAUGAUGAAUAGAAUACCUUUAUUUAUAAAAAAAACUUUAAAUAAAAGUCUAUUUAUAAUAAAAUUUCAAUUGUUCUUCCAACAUUGUCCAAAUCCCUCCUGGAGGUGGAAAUGAUCAUUAUAAGCUAAUAACAACCGAGUGACUAGUCUUUGAUUCAAGUAGGAAGUACAUAAAACUCUUCGGUUGAAGGAAUUACAUAAAAAAUCAUCGAGUAAUUAAAAAAGCAUUUAAAUACUUAGGCACUUACAAAUGAGUGAUCAUUGGUAACUUUCAUUUAACCUUGUAAGUACAGAUCCACACAGUAACAUAACGAGAACCGAUAGCGAGAAACCAGAACAGUAACACGAAAUACAGUAUCAAAAAUAGACUCUUACCCAACCCAGAAACAUAAUCACCAAAUUUUUAUUUUUAUUUUUUAAAAAAAAAACUAUCUAAAGGAGGACAUAUAUUUGACACAAUCAAACCCAGUUUCAGAAUCUUAUUAAUUCCUCCAGCUUCCCUCGGACGCACCACCACCUCUUGAGUAGCGGGACCCACCAUCACCACCGCCAUAACCUCCACCAUAUCCACGGUCACGGCCACCUCCAUAACUACCACCGUAGCCACCACCGCUGUAGCCACCCUCACGUCUGCCACCUCCAUAGCCGCCGCCGCCACCGUAUCCGCCACCACCACUGUAUCCACCCUCACGGCGUCUGCCACCUCCAAAACCACCGCCACCGCCGCCGCUUCCGCGUGAUUGAGCUUCAUUAACGGUGAUGUUACGACCGUCAAGGUUCUGGCCGUUCAUUCCUUCAAUUGCGUCCCUCAUAGCUUUCUCAUCAUUGAAGGUAACAAAGCCAAAUCCCCUUGAUCUUCCAGUUUCACGAUCGUUAAUGAUCUGAAAUCAAAAUCCGUAAAAGAUCAGAUCUAAACAGAUCUACAUGAAUUACAACAAAAAAACAAACAGAUUUAAACAUGCAUGGUAUAUAGAAAUAAUACUCCAUCCGUUACAAGAAUAAAUUAUGUCACUGAAAAUAGGAAACAAGUGAACAAUUCAUCUAAUUUUCGUGAAUUAAAAUACGAAUUUUCCAUAUAUAUAUAAAAGCGAUCAAUGUUCAAAUCUAUGGAAGAUCGGAACGUACCGUAUAAGGGAACGGAAUAACGUAACAGUAACAAAUAGUAACAUAGUAACAGAGUGAAUCAAGUAAACCAGAGAGUGAAAGUAACAGUAACAGUAACAGAGAGAUCAAUGAUCAGAUCGGCUCGGAUCCGAUCUCAGCUCUGCAGUGCAACAAACGGACCUUC
rnacentral:lncRNA from 1 species